CCUACGGGAGGCAGCAGUGAGGAAUAUUGGUCAAUGGGCGCGAGCCUGAACCAGCCAAGUCGCGUGAGGGAGGACGGCCCUACGGGUUGUAAACCUCUUUUGCCGGGGAGCAACGGGCGCCACGUGUGGCGCCACUGAGAGUACCCGGAGAAAAAGCAUCGGCUAACUCCGUGCCAGCAGCCGCGGUAAUACGGAGGAUGCGAGCGUUAUCCGGAUUUAUUGGGUUUAAAGGGUGCGUAGGCGGUUCGUUAAGUCAGUGGUCAAAUUGAGGGGCUCAACCCCUUCCCGCCAUUGAAACUGGCGAUCUUGAGUGGAAGAGAAGUAUGCGGAAUGCGUGGUGUAGCGGUGAAAUGCAUAGAUAUCACGCAGAACCCCGAUUGCGAAGGCAGCAUGCCGGCUUCCGACUGACGCUGAAGCACGAAAGCGUGGGGAUCGAACAGGAUUAGAUACCCGAGUAGUC
rnacentral:rRNA from 1 species